UACGUAGGGGGCAAGCGUUGUCCGGAUUUAUUGGGCGUAAAGAGCGUGUAGGCGGCUUGGUAGGUCCGCUGUGAAAACUCGAGGCUCAACCUCGAGACGCCGGUGGAAACCAUCAGGCUAGAGUCCGGAAGAGGAGAGUGGAAUUCCUGGUGUAGCGGUGAAAUGCGCAGAUAUCAGGAGGAACACCGGUGGCGAAGGCGGGUCUCUGGGCCGAUACUGACGCUGAGGAGCGAAAGCGUGGGGAGCGAACAGG
rnacentral:rRNA from 1 species